rnacentral:rRNA from 1 species
GACGAACGCUGGCGGCGUGCCUAAUACAUGCAAGUAGAACGCUGAAGAGAGUAGCUUGCUCUUCUUGGAUGAGUUGCGAACGGGUGAGUAACGCGUAGGUAACCUGCCUUGUAGCUGUGGAUAACUAUUGGAAACGAUAGCUAAUACCGCAUAACAAUGGAUGACACAUGUCUUUUAUUUGAAAGGGGCAAUUUCUCCACUACAAGAUGGACCUGCGUUGUAUUAGCUAGUAGGUGAGGUAAUUGCUCACCUAGGCGGCGGUACAUAGGCGACCUGAGAGGGUGAGUGGACACACUGAGACUGAGACACGGCCCAGACUCCUACGGGAGGCAGCAGUAGGGAAUCUUCAGCAAUGGGGGCAACCAUGACCGAGCAACGCAGCGUGAGUGAAGAAUGUUUUCGGAUCGUAAAGCUAUGUUGUAAGUCAAGAACGGGGGUGAGAGUGGAAAGUUCACACUGUGACGGUAGCUUACCAGAAAGGGACGGCUAACUACGUG